rnacentral:misc_RNA from 1 species
AACCAUUCUCACCUGCGGCUAGACCUGCGGAGGGAUCAUUACCUAGAGUUGUAGGCUUUGCCUGCUAUCUCUUACCCAUGUCUUUUGAGUACCUUACGUUUCCUCGGCGGGUUCGCCCGCCGGUUGGACAAAACUUAAACCCUUUGUAGUUGCAAUCAGCGUCUGAAAAAACUUAAUAGUUACAACUUUCAACAAUGGAUCU